rnacentral:rRNA from 1 species
GAUGAACGCUGGCGGCGUGCCUAAUACAUGCAAGUCGAGCGAAGCGGGGACGGGGGAGUAACAAGUGGAUCACCUCCUAUAAGACUGGGAUACCUUCGGGAAACCGGCGCUAACACGGAAACAUAUAGUUGGAUCCGCGCUGCAUUAGCUGGUUGGUAAUGUAACGGCUUACCAAGGCAACGAUGAAUAGCAGACCUGAGAGGGUGAUCGGCCACACUGGAACGGAGACACGGUCCAGACUCCUACGGGAGUCAGCAUUAGGGAAUCUUCGGCAAUUGGCGAAAGCCUGAUGGAGCAACGCCGCGUGAGUGAUGAAGGUCUUCGUAUCGUAAAACUCUGUUAUUAGGGAAGCGGUACCUAAUCAGAAAGCCACGGCUAACUACGUGCCAGCAGCCGCGGUAAUAC